rnacentral:misc_RNA from 1 species
GAUGAAGAACGUAGCGAAAUGCGAUAAGUAAUGUGAAUUGCAGAAUUCAGUGAAUCAUCGAAUCUUUGAACGCACAUUGCGCCCGCCAGCACUCUGGCGGGCAUGCCUGUCCGAGCGUCAUUUACCAUCCUCGGGCCCCCUUGGGGGCCCGGUGCUGGGGGCACGGCCCAGGCCGCCCCCGAAAUGCAGUGGCGACCCCGCCGCGUCCUCCCCUGCGCAGUAGCACAAUCUCGCACCGGAAGCGCGGAGGCGGUCACGCCUGGAAACGCCCCAACUCAACGCAGUUGACCUCGGAUCAGGUAGGAGUACCCGCUGAACUUAAGCAUAUCAAUAAGCGGAGGA